rnacentral:tRNA from 1 species
ACUCGUACUCGUCGGGCUUGCGGCCGGCCUGCCGGGCCAGCUCCUGGGUGAUGGCGAUCAGACGCGGGUCGUGCGACCCGAUCAUCGGGUA